GAGUUUGAUCGUGGCUCAGAUUGAACGCUGGCGGCAGGCCUAACACAUGCAAGUCGAGCGGAUGACGGGAGCUUGCUCCUUGAUUCAGCGGCGGACGGGUGAGUAAUGCCUAGGAAUCUGCCUGGUAGUGGGGGGACAACGUUUCGAAAGGAACGCUAAUACCGCAUACGUCCUACGGGAGAAAGCAGGGGACCUUCGGGCCUUGCGCUAUCAGAUGAGCCUAGGUCGGAUUAGCUAGUUGGUGGGGGUAAUGGCUCACCAAGGCGACGAUCCGUAACUGGUCUGAGAGGAUGAUCAGUCACACUGGAACUGAGACACGGUCCAGACUCCUACGGGAGGCAGCAGUGGGGAAUAUUGGACAAUGGGCGAAAGCCUGAUCCAGCCAUGCCGCGUGUGUGAAGAAGGUCUUCGGACUGUAAAGCACUUU
rnacentral:rRNA from 1 species